UACGUAGGGAGCAAGCGUUGUCCGGAAUCAUUGGGCGUAAAGCGCGCGUAGGUGGCCAUUUAAGUCCGCUGUGAAAGUCAAAGGCUCAACCUUUGAAAGCCGGUGGAUACUGGAUGGCUAGAGUACGGAAGAGGCGAGUGGAAUUCCUGGUGUAGCGGUGGAAUGCGCAGAUAUCAGGAGGAACACCGGUGGCGAAGGCGGGUCUCUGGGCCGGUACCGACGCUGAGGAGCGAAAGCGUGGGAGCGAACAGG
rnacentral:rRNA from 1 species